UCCAGAGCACUACGCCUGAUCCUGGGCUCCCAGAGUGUAGUGAAUGAAGGAGUCAAUCUAUUUUUUUGAGAAAUGUGGAUUUGAAAAGAAGAGAACUUGGGUUUUGUAACUAAUGAAUAUUCUAAGAUGUAGAGGCUUUUGUUGUUGUGUUUUGCUUUGCCAUUGUGGUCCUUUGUUUUAAAAUCUAAAAUUCCUAAUGUUACCAUAGUGGUAAAGCAAGGUCUUAGUCUGAUACAUCAUCUCUAAACUUAGAUUUUCAGAGUCUGAAGAACAUACAGUCCAUUCAGCCCUCUCCACUGUUGCUGGAACUGGCAAGUCAGUUCACCUGAUGUUAGAGGGGGUGAAGUGCAACUAAUUAAAGGCAGACUGGCAGCGUCUGCAAAUUCUAAGGCUCCCCAAAUAAAAAGAGACUGGUAAGUGAUUGUUCUUUCUCUUCCUCUGGCUUUUUCCCCCUCUCUCUUUCUCUCUUAAAUGUUUGCUGUCCGGUGGGAUUGUAAAAGUAGAUUAAUGCUGGACUUCGGCAAUAAAAACCGGUGGCUGUAUUAAUUAAUUAAUUAA
rnacentral:lncRNA from 1 species